UACGUAGGUGGCAAGCGUUGUCCGGAUUUAUUGGGUUUAAAGGGUGCGUAGGCGGUUCUGUAAGUCAGUGGUGAAAUACGGCAGCUCAACUGUCGAGGUGCCAUUGAUACUGCGGAACUUGAGUACUGAUGAGGUAGGCGGAAUUGACGGUGUAGCGGUGAAAUGCUUAGAUAUCGUCAAGAACACCGAUAGCGAAGGCAGCUUACCAAGCAGUAACUGACGCUGAGGCACGAAAGUGCGGGGAUCAAACAGG
rnacentral:rRNA from 1 species